GCGGGCGUGCUGGAAUGGUAGACAGACCAGACUUAAAAUCUGUUGGGGCUUGUCCCCGUGUGGGUUCGAGUCCCACCGCCCGCACCA
rnacentral:tRNA from 1 species